rnacentral:tRNA from 1 species
GUCAGUUUGACAGAAAAUGUAUUAGAUUUAGGAUCUACUUAUGUGGGUGGUAAUCCCAUGGCUGAUU